rnacentral:rRNA from 1 species
GUUGUUGGAGAAGAAUGGUCGGCAGAGUAACUGUUGUGGGCGUGACGGUAUCCAACCAGAAAGCCACGGCUAAUUACGUGCCAGCAGCCGCGGUAAUACGUAGGUGGCAAGCGUUAUCCGGAUUUAUUGGGCGUAAAGCGAGCGCAGGCGGUUUUUUAAGUCUGAUGUGAAAGCCCUCGGCUUAACCGAGGAAGCGCAUCGGAAACUGGGAAACUUGAGUGCAGAAGAGGACAGUGGAACUCCAUGUGUAGCGGUGAAAUGCGUAGAUAUAUGGAAGAACACCAGUGGCGAAGGCGGCUGUCUGGUCUGUAACUGACGCUGAGGCUCGAAAGCAUGGGUAGCGAACAGGAUUAGAUACCCUGGUAGUCCAUGCCGUAAACGAUGAAUGCUAGGUGUUGGAGGGUUUCCGCCCUUCAGUGCCGCAGCUAACGCAUUAAGCAUUCCGCCUGGGGAGUACGACCGCAAGGUUGAAACUCAAAGGAAUUGACGGGGGCCCGCACAAGCGGUGGAGCAUGUGGUUUAAUUCGAAGCAACGCGAAGAACCUUACCAGGUCUUGACAUCUUUUGAUCACCUGAGAGAUCAGGUUUCCCCUUCGGGGGCAAAAUGACAGGUGGUGCAUGGUUGUCGUCAGCUCGUGUCGUGAGAUGUUGGGUUAAGUCCCGCAACGAGCGCAACCCUUAUGACUAGUUGCCAGCAUUUAGUUGGGCACUCUAGUAAGACUGCCGGUGACAAACCGGAGGAAGGUGGGGAUGACGUCAAAUCAUCAUGCCCCUUAUGACCUGGGCUACACACGUGCUACAAUGGAUGGUACAACGAGUUGCGAGACCGCGAGGUCAAGCUAAUCUCUUAAAGCCAUUCUCAGUUCGGACUGUAGGCUGCAACUCGCCUACACGAAGUCGGAAUCGCUAGUAAUCGCGGAUCAGCACGCCGCGGUGAAUACGUUCCCGGGCCUUGUACACACCGCCCGUCACACCAUGAGAGUUUGUAACACCCGGAAGCCGGUGGCGUAACCCUUUAGGGAGCGAGCCGUCUAAGUGACAAGGUUGGGA